CUUAUAGCGAAUUAGUAUCGAGCGAACGUACUCGCUACCGUGUAUACUUAUAUCCAGCAAAACUGAGCAAACGACGACUAACUCUGCAUCGCAGAUAAUUUCAAAUACAUUUGACUACACUAAAUAUCAACUCGUCUCACCACUAUAUACACCAAUAUGUUUAAUCAUCCUCCAUACUUCCAUUUAUAUUAGAAGUUAUAUUAGAAGAAGCUAGUACGAACAGUACUGUUUGAAAAAUAAUUUUGAAAAAAUUGUGCAUGGUUCAACAUAGUAUUCGUAUAAUUCGUAUAAUACACGGACUCCCACUGUACUUCAAUCCAAGAGACGAAUAAUAAAUUAAUAAUAUAAAUUAGUAUGGGAGAAUAAGAAAAGACAAAAUGCUAUAAAUUACACGAAACUGAGGACGAUAAUAUAAACGAUUAUAGAAGUUUCUGCCUAAUGUUUGGGAAACAGACAUAUCUUUUACUAAGCAAUGUAACAUCAUAGUGUGAAUAGGAAUUUGGAAAAAGGAAUAGAAAAGUGAAGAGGAGAGACGGCCAUGGACGUGUCGAACUACUCCACCUUGUUUGCGAGAAAGGGGGAAAGCGAGAGCCAUUCGUUGGAGACUCGGGCGACGAAGAAAGCAUUGAAGAGGAAGAGGGAACAUAUGGGGUGAGAAGACGGUUUGAAAAGGCGUGGAGAGGUGUUGUAAGAUAGAGAAGGCGGCAGGAAACAGAGCGAGAAAGUAAAGAAGGGCUAAGAGAGGGUCAAACGAAAAAGAGACAGAAAGAAAGCGGUGCAACGAAGAAACUCGACAGGGGUAUAGGCUUAUUGAUUCCAGAGGGUUCGUGUUUCUCUCUUUCUCGUCAUUCCUUAAUGCUGUCUACGUUUGUCUUUGUUUCAUUUCUCUUUCCGCUUCACUUUCCAUUCGUACCUCCAGCCUCCGAAUGUAAACGUGUGCGUAUGUUUAUGCGCGUUCAAGAAACACGUGUCAGAGGUUACGCAAACAGAAUGAUUGAUACAUUAGCCGGCCGGCUGCCCUCUCGCCUUAUCUUUUAUUCCGUUCGGUGAAUUGAUUUCCUAUGGCACGGAGGGGAGGCUAAGAACGGCCGCACGGGGAUGGCUGGCGCGUGUAAUGAAUCGAGGAUUCUUUCAUUCUCCUUUAUGAUGAUCGAACCCGUGCGGAACGCUCUAACGUGCGAUUCGAUGCGAAUCUAUCCCAUCGAUAAUUAACUGCUGUUGCUCCUGUCACGAGUGGGAGUACAAGCGAUUUAAUCAAAGCUUAACACAUGAAACCCUCGAUCGAGAGUAUAAAAUAUACACGAAGAAUUAGGUAAAUAAUGAAUAGGGUAUUACCUUUCGAAAUCUUAGAUUAUACAGAACACAUACGUUUAAUAUUACAAUGAUAAUCUGAUUAAUUAUGUAGAUUAAAUUUAAUUAAA